rnacentral:rRNA from 1 species
GACGAACGCUGGCGGCGUGCUUAACACAUGCAAGUCGAACGGUGAAGCGCCUUCCUUUUUGGUUGGUGUGGAUGAGUGGCGAACGGGUGAGUAACACGUGAGUAACCUGCCCCCUUCUUCUGGAUAACCGCAUUAAAGUGUGGCUAAUACGGGAUAUUCUGGUUCUGUCGCAUGAUGGGUCUGGGACAGAUAUUGUUUCUGUGGGGGAUGGGCUCGCGGCCUAUCAGCUUGUUGGUGGGGUGAUGGCCUACCAAGGCGGUGACGGGUAGCCGGCCUGAGAGGGUGGACGGUCACGAGGGGAUUGAGAGACGGACUAGGAUUCUAAGGGAGGCAGCAGUGGGGAAUAAGGCAGAAUGGGCGAAAACCUGAUGCAGCGACGCAGCGUGAGGGAUGGAGGCCGUGGGGUUGUGAACCGCUUUCGCGAGGGAAGCAGGCUUGGCUCGUUUGUGGGUGGGUGGACGGGAGCUGGAUAAGAAGCGCCGGCUAACUAAGUGC